CUCCUGGUCCUCUUUUGGCACCUCAUGAAAUUAUAGAGGACUGCAUUUUAAGUGGUUAUAAUAUAAAAAAAGGAACUCGUCUAAUCACAAAUCUUUGGAAGAUUCACACAGACAAGAAUGUUUGGGAAGAUCCAUUGGAGUUCAAACCUGAAAGGUUUCUUACAACUUACAAAGAUCUCGAUGUCAAAGGUCAUCAUUUUGAGCUAAUACCAUUUGGAGGUGGUAGAAGAAUGUGUCCAGGAAUAUCCUUUGGCCUUGAAGUAGUGCAAUUCUCUCUUGCUAGUAUUUUGCACUCUUUUGAAUUUUUAAGUUCAUCACCUGAUCCUAUUGACAUGACCGAAACCUUUGGAUUAACCAACACCAAAGGCACUCCACUUGAGAUUCUUAUUAAACCACGUCUAUCUUUUAGUUGUAACGAAAACAACUAAUCCAUGUGCUAGCUAUGCUGUCACAAUUUGUUUUCAUUUAAAGUACUUUUUUUCUAUAAUAUUGUUCAAAGUCUUUGUUAUCUUUGUAUUUUCAUUCAAAGUGCUUGAUAUAUUUGUACUUUCCUUCAAAGUACUUGAUAUAUUUAUAGUUUAUCUUGGUAAACUUUGAAACUCUUUCAAAUAUAUAUUAUUUUUAGUAGACUUUCUUUAUUGAGUCAGGUUAGAGAGUUGGACCGUAUUUAGAGAUUCAUUGCUUAAUUCUUAAUCGCGGAUUGAAGUGAUUAAUCCUAUUUGAACGUAAUUGUAUUUAUGUUGUCGAUCAGUUCAUUAAUGUGGAUUACGAUCUCGAUCGGUCACUGAUAAGUCUCGAGAGAUUACAUUAGUCGAUACAAUUAAUGAAUUGCUUAAUUGGUUAACCGUGACUGAUGAAGGUGUGCAAUAAUUGGAAACCAGAGGCAAAAUACAGAGUGCACUAAUUAGCUUAGCAAAUAAUAAGAAAGUGAUGCAUAACAGUUUCACAUAGAAAGAGUUUUGCAAAUCCUUCAACGGGUGGGUGCCAUUUUUACAUGCACCACAUCUCUUUUUUCAGGUAAGUCACGUACUACUUUAAUAUUUAUGUACCCUUUGAUUAAAUGCCUCAUUGGUCAAUGAGCUUACGAUUAUAACACAUCAUUUUCUUAUGCUUUCAUAUUAUAUUAAUAUUCAAAUGACCUACACUGCAAAAUGAUGUGUUAGUAUAACGUGUUUUAAUUUUAAUUAUAUCUCUAUACUUUUUUUCUAUUAGUUUUAAAAGUCUUCUCUUGAUUUGUGCGUCUUAUCUUUAGUCGGGGAUUCUUUGCAUUUUUCCAAUUUUCUCAUAUGUACCACGAGGAACAAAGUCUUGUUUUUUGAAUUUUCUUAGCAGUAAUAGAAUGAAAAUUUUGACUUAUAUGUAAAAAUAUUAUUCAGUAUUACUGGAGCAAUUUUGUCCCAUUCACUACUUUAUUGUUGAGUGGUUCAAUAUUUGUGGCUGAAGACAUCAUAUAUAUAAUAUAUGCGAACCUUAUAUUAUUUUAAUUUAUUUCUUUUACAUGAACUUGGACUUUAUUGAUUCUGGUCUAAAUUAUACACCUUAACCUACCCACAUUCACAAUUCACUUAUGAACAUCUUUUUUCUUAAAUAUCAAUUAACCUUGGAAGAUAUAUACAACAAAUAUCAAGCUAUUAAGGUCAAUAUCUUGUGUUCAUAACACAAUAUUUUUUUCUCAACAAAUCCUUAAAAUAUAUCCUUAACUAUUUUUAAUUAAAUAUUUUAAAACAUAUAUUUUUUAAUUGUUUUUUAUCGUUUAAUUUUUUAUUAAUUAAGUGACAUGAUUAUUAUUUUUCUUACCAUCUUGCGGUUAAUAUAAAAUAAAACAAUAUUAUAGUUAAUGUAAAACAAUAAGCUUAACUAACUUUAUUUUUUCAUAAAAGAAUUAUUAGAUAACGAGUUUAUCAUGUUUUUUUAGUUGUAAUUUUCAUGUCAUCAUAUACCAUAAAAAAAAGAUCAUCACCAUUGAUAUAAAUAGCAAUUAUCAAACACUUUUUCAAUGAAAAUAAUAAAAAUCACUUUUCAAUUUACAUUAAUCACAAUUUAGUUUUAUAUUAAACACAAAACAUCACAUUUUUAAUAUGUGGAAACAAGUAGCAGAGUAAUGGAAUAAAAUAAAAGUAAUGUAAACCACACAAAAUUAAACAAAAAAAAAAAUUCAAUUUUUUUUUUAAUACUAUUUAAUAAAAAUAACCUAGACCUUGAACCCUAAAUUCAUAGUAUUUUGAUUUUUAAAAAAAAUAAAUUUUGUCUUAUUUUUAAAAAAAAAUAUACAAUUUGAUCUGUUUUAUUAAAUUAACAUAAAGAGGAGGAAGUGGUGACAUGAUGUGACAAAGUUAUAAACGCACGUAUAAAAAUGUUAUAAAGUAUGAUUUAAAUUAGUAAUUACAAUUCACUGCAUAAUAAUUUAAAUUUUAAUAUUUUGAAACUUAACCUUAUAUAUUUUAAAUAUUUUUUAUGGCAGCAAACUUUGAAAAUAGUUAUUAAUUAUUAUUAUUAGUGGUAGUUAUAUCUUAUAAAAAUUACAACACAAUUUCCAAGUAAAAUCAUACUUAGUCUUUGAAAAGUUUGACUUUUCCUUCUCUCUGAAGGAAUGAAGGAUCUAUUUAACCACUCCUACUUUACCCUACCUGAAACACACAGAGCCUCAACUCGCUCAAAUGGAUUUGGUUGUAAAUUCCUUGAAUGCAACCACCAUUGCACUCGCUUCUCUAAUUCUCUUCUGUUUCUUUCUCUAUGGUCUCUUCAAAUUUUCUCGAGGGAAAGAACCUCCCACAGUUGCAGGUGCAUGGCCAAUACUUGGUCACCUUCCAUUGAUGAGUGGUUCAAAGUCACCCCACAGAACUUUGGGUGCUUUGGCCGACAAAUAUGGACCCAUUUUCACCAUCAAACUUGGUGCGAAAAGGGCUGUGGUAAUCAACAACUGGGAAAUAGCAAAGGAAUGCUUCACCACAAACGACACAGUCGUUUUCGGUCGCCCCAAGCUUGUUUCGGUGGAACUCAUGAGCUACAACCAAGCCAUGUUUGCCUUAGCACCCUAUGGUCCCUAUUGGCGAAAAAUAAGAAAGCUUACAAUUUCAGAGAUUCUCUCCCCUCAGCAAGUGAGGCAGCAACGUCAUCUUUUUGAGUCAGAGGUUCAAGAAUCGAUCAAGGAGCUCUUUGACCUUUGGCGCAGCAACAAGAAUGAGAGCGGCUAUGCCUUGGUGGACUUGAAGCAAUGGUUUUCUCAUCUGAUAUUCAACAUGGUCCUUCAAAUGAUUACAGGGAAGCGAUAUUUCAGUGCAGCAACUGUAGACGAUGAGAAGGCACAGAGAUGUGUGAGGACUGUGGAGGAGUUGAUGCGUCUGAUGGGGGUGUUCACAGUGGGAGACGCUGUUCCUUGGUUGAGACGGUUUGAUUUGGGAGGGAAUGAGAAGGCUAUGAAAGAAAUUGCUAAAGAGUUGGAUAUUAUUCUUGGUGAGGAGUUAGAGGAACACAGAAAAAGGAAGGGUUUGGGUGAAGCUAAAGAUUUCAUUGAUGUGAUGAUUUCCUUGUUUGAUGGAACAAUUACUGAUGGGGUCGAUGCAGAUACCGUUAUCAAAUCCACCAUACUGGUAUGUAUCUUCAAUAUGAACAUUAUAAUCCUUUCAAACUUCAACCGUCUAGUAUUUUAUUUUUCUUUCUAAUUUUGUUUUCUGCAUGGCACAGUAUAGCAUGGUUGAAUAGUGUAUAUUAGGGAUAACGAUCUGAGUCAACCCAUUCUAGAUAGAUAUGUCCUGUUAAAAAGUACAGAUUAAUUCUAUUGGUUUAUCUCUAAGGAAAAGAUUUCUUUAACAUCCAAAAAUAAAAUACAUACAAUUUAACAAAUCAUUAUAAUAAUAUUUUUAAAUUAAAAAAUAAUAUAACAAUGUUCUGAUUUUCAAUAAAAUUUGAAUUUUGAUUAUAAUAAUAAAUUAUUUAAUAAAAUAUUUUAUUAAAUAUAUACAUUUUUUUAAAGGUAAAUACAUUAUUACUAUUAAUUUGAAAAAUAAUAUAUUUAUAUAUAUAAUACAACCUUUAAAUUUUAUUAUAAAAAAGACUAAGGUAUUUUUUUUUUUUGAAAUGUCCCUUUUAAUUCAAUUUUAUUUUUUGUUGACAAAAAAAAUAUACUUUUUAGAAAGAUAAAAAACACCAUUUAUUAAAAAAUCAUUAUUGAAUUUUGUGAGGGUGAUAUAAAUUAGGGAUUGAGUGUAGAUUCUUCCUGCAUCUCCAUGCCUUUCUUCUUGCAUCCCAUUAUACAAAAAAUACUCAAAUUAUGCUUUGGCAUUUUUCUUUAAUUCCGAAAUGUGACAUUUAAUUUGGAAGUUAAAAUUUGUUUUGGGAUUGUACAUUAUUUCAGAUUGUACAAUCCAAAAUACAAAUUUGUAUACUAGAUUAUUGAAUUUGAAAUAAAUAAUUUUACAACUUUUGAGAAUAAGAGGUUGCUAGAAGAAAUAAAUAAGAUGAAGAAAUUAAAUAAAUUUAUGAAUUAAAAUUAGUUUAUAUAUGAAUUAAAAAUAAUAUUUUAUGUAAAUUGAUUUUAAUAUAUGAUUUUUUUUUUGUUUUAUAGAAGAACUUGUGAAUAAAACCAUAUUCUUAAUUUGUUUAAUUUGCAGACACUGAUUGCAGGAGGAACUGACACAAGUAGUGUUGUUCUUGUGUGGGCAAUGUGUUUGAUUUUGGGAAAUCCUUUGGUAUUGGAAAAAGUGCAAGCCGAACUAGACAUUCAUAUUGGAAAAGAGAAAUGCGUAAGUGAGUCUGAUAUGAGUAAGUUAACAUAUCUUCAAGCCAUAGUCAAAGAAACUUUAAGAUUAUAUCCUCCGGGUCCUCUUGCGACACCUCGUGAAUUCACAGAGAAUUGCACUUUAGGUGGUUAUAAUAUAAAAAAAGGAACUCGACUAAUCACAAAUCUUUGGAAGAUUCACACAGACAAGAAUGUUUGGGAAGAUCCAUUGGAGUUCAAACCUGAAAGGUUUCUUACAACUUACAAAGAUCUCGAUGUUAAAGGUCAUCAUUUUGAGCUAAUACCAUUUGGAGGUGGUAGAAGAAUGUGUCCAGGAAUAUCCUUUGGCCUUGAAGUAGUGCAAUUCUCUCUUGCUAGUAUUUUGCACUCUUUUGAAUUUUUAAGUUCAUCACCUGAUCCUAUUGACAUGACCGAAAACUUUGGAUUAGCCAACACCAAAGCCACUCCACUUGAGAUUCUUAUUAAACCACACCUAUCUUUUAGUUGUUAUGAAAACAACUAAUCCAUGUGCUAGUUAUGCGGUCACAAUUUAUUUUCAUUCAAAGUAUCGUUCAAAGUCUUUGCUAUCUUUGUAUUUUUGUUCAAAGUGCUUGAUAUAUUUUAAUUUUCCUUUAAUGUACUUGAUAGAUUUAUAGCUUAUCUUUGUAAACUUUGAAACUCUUUCAAAUAUAUCAUUAAUAAAAAGAAUAAUUACACCGCAUAUUCUCACUACUUUAUUCCUUCUUUAUCGAUAUUUUCUUUAUAUUUUUCAAGUCCCUCUUAUGGAAAUAAAUCUUUGUAAAUUUUUUUCCUCUAUACAUCCUUCCAACUAGUAAGGCUCUGAUUUGGAUGUGAUUUGAAUCAUUCUUUAGCUUUUCCUGUCAAUGAGAAAGGAAAUAAACGUAGAUAAACAGUUUCAAUAUCACCUGAUUGAAAGUCUAUUGUUCCUACCAAUUCAUAAAAUGUAGACAAAUGUGUAUAUGGAUCCUCAUGGUCCAUUGUUGUAAAUUGAUGGGUACUUAUCAGACUGAGGAAUGCAGGUUUCAUCUCCAAGGCGUUGGUGGUAGAAGGUAUUGCAAUACUAGAGAAAUGAUGGCCUCUGGUGCAUAGCAUAAUCUCCAAGUGUUCUCUUGGGUUGUUGAUGACUUUUUACGGCAAGUGCACUGUGUUUGUCAGAAGUAAUAAUUGUCCCUAAGAACGAAUAUCAAUCCACAAGGAACAAUGAAGUGAAUUAUUGAGUACAAAAUUCGCUAAAUAUAACAACAGAACAAUAAAAAGAGUUUUGAAGUGAUUGUGUUGACACCGAUCAAUAAUAAAAUAAACAAAGAAUUAGUUGCUUGAAUUGAAAAAAUAGGGAUUAGGUUUCAUUUUUCUCACUCUCAUGUAUUUUGAUUAGGAUGUUAAUAUUAAGUUCUUUGAUUGAAAUUGAUGGCCAUAAAAAAUUCAUUUUUAUCGAUCCCUCGCAUAUAAAAUCCUUAAAAAUGUUUCCUAAAUAUCGAUCCCUUGCAUAUUUAUAAAAACAACUUAGAAUCCCAUUGAGACGUUAAUGUCAAUUAACAUUUCAAGUUUAUCCUUAACACUCAAAUAUGUUAAGUAUUGUUGUUCAGGUUUGAACCCUAAAAAUACCUCUCGGUUAGAUUUAAGACUAUCAAUUUGUCACGGAAAGUUAAAAGUAAAACAACAAUACCAAUAAUCAAUCAAGAACUUAAUAUUAAUAUAUAAGAUAUCACCUCAAUAUAUAAGAGUUUGAGCAUAUUACUCCAAAUCCAAAAUGGUAAAAUUAGCCACGCAUACUUCUAGCACCUUCCAUUCUCCUAAUUGGGUUACAAUUCACUCUAUGGUGUUUUCCUCUCAAUCUGACACAGUAGGAUUGAGCCUCUAGCCCCCUAUUUAUCCUAAUUUUCUAGGGUUAGGUCGCUUCUUAUGUCGUGCUAAUGGGCUAAGUGAUAAAACAUAAAAAAAACCCCAAUCUUUCUGACGUAUUCUCGCUCAAGCGAGAUACUCUUGUGGCGAAAUAGUCUUUUUCUGCAUCUCUUUGCAUUCUAGGACCUACCUUCUAGCUUUAUCUUUUUAGCUCAAAUUAUUCUCCUUUACUCCAAAUCUUCAAUCCUCCCUAAAAAUAUGCAAUUAACACCAAAUUUGGGAAUAAAAUUCUCUUAUUCAAAUAAAGAUCAUACAAAAUGUAUAAAUUCAUAAAUUAGAGAUUAUUCUAUAUGUAAAUUAGCAAUAAAUCCUCCUAAGUGCCUAAAUUUUAAUAUGAAAUAUUACUGAAAUUAGACACUUAUGAGUUGUGGUGGUGGUUUUUUUUGGCUAUAAUGCUUUCUUCUUGAAAAAUAUUAAUGGGAAGGAAAAAAAUGGUUAAGGAUUCUUCUAUAGUCUCUUUGUUUUUCUGUUCUCUUUCUCUCGUUGUUUCUUGUAGCUGCCUUUUCAAUCUCUAAUUUAAACAAUUGAGGAUUCUUCUAGCAGAAACAAUUUAAGCCAUAACAGUUCUUGGAGUUAAUCUUUAAAAGGUUUAAUUUGUAUUUUUUAGAAGUUCACAGUGUAUAAAAAAAUAAUUUUCUUUAAAAAUUAGAUUCAAAUUGGUUCUACAACAAUGUGCUUUGAUAAAAGACUUUACUUUUAAAUUGUAAAGCAAGAUUCAAAUCAGCUUUCAAUAACCGUCUAUUUAAACAAUAAAACACUUUAAAUCACAUUUUAAAAUCAAAUUUGAUAUGAUGAUGUUUAAAACCAGUUCCAAAACGAGAUUUCUUAUUGAUGGUUUGUUUUUAAGUAUGAACUUGUCAUCAAAGACACCAUCCAGUUUUUAAGUUUGAUUAAUUUCUUUAGUUGUUAGAAGUAAUGAAUACGAGAGAAGAAUAACACACAAUGAUUUAUACUAAUAUGAGAGAAGUAGUGUAUAUACUCUUACUUACGAUAAAGAAUUAUAAAAAUUAAAAGAAGUAAAACUUGACGAAAUUUGUACUUCCAUCAUUAUUUUUUCCUUUAUCACUUAUUUCUAUACUCUUUCUUUAACAACAUUGUAAUAUAGCGAUUUUUUAUAACAAAAUAUGAAAUAAUUUUAAAACGUGUGAAGAAAACGGUAUGGAUGAAUGGAUACGUUAUAUUGAUAAAUAAAUAAACCACAUGCGUUGGUUUUAAUCAAGACAAUAACUUGACAUAUACAUACGUAUCUCCAAAAUUUUAUUUACCCAAUUCUUACCAAAAAUAUUUUAAAAUAAUUAAUUUGUCGUCGUAUAAAUUCUCACUUCUAAUUGAAAAAUGUAUGAGCAUAUUUAUUUUCCAAUUUGUAACAAAAUUUACGAAUUUAUAUAUAAUUUUACAAUAAUUAUUUUUUAGUUUAUUAACAUGGCAUAAAAUUAAAGUUUUCGUUUUCUUUUAUUGACAUGUUGGUCGAAUAAGAGGUUUUUUUUAUUUUAUUUUAAUUUCUUUAAUUAUUUAAUUACCUAAAUUAUUUCAAUCAACACAACAAGUAAGAUAGGACGUUUAUAAAUAAUUAUCAGAAUAAUAUUUCAUUAAGUAAACUAAUUCUUAAUAUUUUAGAACAGUUACCAACAAGUAUCCACAGUUAAAAAAUAAAAAUAAAAAUAUAAAUUUAAUAUAUUAUAAAAAAAUAGAUUUGAAUAUUACACUUAUCAAAAUUACUUUCUAUUUUAGUUUCUAAUUUUUUUUAUAGACUCUUGAAUUAAAAAAUUAAAAAUAUUUUUUAUUCAUCCCAAUCUAAAAGUGAUAGUUUAGUCUUUUGAAAUUUAAAUACUAUUUUGAGUUAUCUAAUUUAUUAAUAAUUGACAAAUUCGUUAAUAAUUAUAGAUUCAAUUGAAAAAAAUAAAGAAUAAAAAAAACAAAGCAUCAAUGACAUAAACUCAUAAUAAUGAAUCCAGACACUGAAUUACAAAACAUUAUUUUAUUUAUAUGAAUUCGAUUGCACUUUCUUUAUAAUGAUAUUUCUUUUGAGUUUUAAUUAUCUAGAAAUUUUCCAAACAAUUAUAUGUGACAAAGCAUGAACAUGAAAUCAAUAACAGUAUAUAUGAAGUUGAAUGUGUAACGAUGUGACCAUUUUACACUAUCAAUCUAUUCCAUGUUUUUCCAUUACAAUUUGAUUUGUGUGCUUAAAGUGAUCAAUCAUGGAUGCAAAUAAUGAUGAAAUAGAAAUUAAUAUGCUCAUAAAAAAAUAAAGGCAACGUUGGUGUACCUAACAUGGUGGUGACGAACUACAUCAACUACAUUAGAACAGUUCUUUUAUGGGUGGUGUGUGUGCUGCCUUAUGUGAAUAAGGAAAAUUUUACGUAUAUAUUGUGGAGGUAGGAAAAGUUUUAUCUACCCCACGGGACGCCAAAUGUUCUAGCCAAGAGGGAUGUCUCCCUACUAAAGCGUACAAUUAAGCCAGAAACAAUGGUUUCUAGCCCUAAAGUGUUUGUCAGGUCAUCUUCUUUCCCUUAUAUAAGUUAGUGCUCUCCUCCCUUUUUGUAUCCCUUCUUGUUUUGAGUUAUAUUUUCAAAUUGAUUACAAUCACAUAUAUACGGUCGAUCUCCAUAAUCAACGCACUCUCCUCUUUAUGAAAAAUAAAUAAGAUCUUUUUCAUUAAUUUCAGAGAUAGACUAUUUCACCACAUCAUCGGUCUGAUAAGUUCAUAACCAUUAUUUACAUAGAUCGACACAAAAACCAUUUCACCAUGUGAUAACACUCGAUCCAUGAUCUCACAAUACCAAAUUAAAAGAAUUCUUAAUUUUUUUUGAAAAUAAAGCUAUUUUGAAAUUGUUGUUAAAUUAUUUCAUCUUAAUAUUUAGGUCUUAUUUUCAAAAUUUGAAUUCCAACACGAUUUAUCUAUUAAUAUAACGUGUCUUAAUUUUAAUUAUAUCUCUCUAUACUUUUUUAGUAAGUUUUAAAAGUCUUGUCAUGAUUUGUGCGUGUUAUCUUUACUCGGGGACUCUUUGUAUCUUUCCAAUGUUCUCAUAUGUCCCACAAGAGACAAAGUCUCUUUUCAAUUAUUUUAGCAAUAAUAGAAAACUUACUUAUUUUAAAAUACUAUUCAGUAUUAUUAGAGCAUUCUUAUUGGGGUAAGUCAGGUACUACUUUAAUGUUUAUGUACUGUUUGAAUAAAUGUCCCAUUGAAAAAUGUGAGCAUUUUUGUCCCAUUCUUAACUUUAUUGUUUGGUAGAAAUUUUUCGUCCGGAAGAGUAAUUAAGUGGUGCAGUUUCUACCUAACUCUCCGGCCACCUGUUUAAUGCUAAUACGUCGUCAUUCGUGCUCAUAUGUUGAUGCGAAAAGAUUUAUUUCACAUUAAAAACAUAUAUUUAACAUCACAUUAUUAUAAUAAUAUAAUCAGGUUUAAAAUUAAAAAAUAAAUUAAAUAUAUGUUUAAUAUGUCUCAGUUUUUUUUUUCAGAAAAUGUUUUUUAUGAAUGAUUUAAAAUGUUUUUUUUCUUAUUUUUAUAAUUAUAAUAUAAUCUUUUAGAAUAAAAAUUUAAUUUUUAAAAAAUUAAUAUGUUUUUUCUUUUAAAAAUUUUGUUAGAAUUCUAAUAAAAUUGUCAAAAAUUUUAAAAAUAUAUUUAAGAGACGUAUUUAACUUAGUUUGAUAAGUAAGAGAUUUGUGAAAGGUAUUAAUUAAAAGAGUGGUGAUAUAUUAACACUUUUAAUGAUAAAAACACAUUUUUUUUUAAAUAAAAGUUUUCAUGUUAGACAUCAUUAUGCAGUUUUUACACUUUUUAUACUAUAAUAAAUUAAUAUUUUAUUUAUUUUUAUUUUAUUUUUUAAUUUAAAAAUAUUAUUAUAAACAAUGUAAAUGUAUGUUUUUUUAUUCACUAUAAUAAAAUCAUGAAAUAGAAACCAAUUUGUAGAAAUCAAAAUAAUUAGUUGCAAUAGUAACUAAAAAGAAAUUUGGUUUCUAAAUUAGUUUCUAUUAUUGUUAAAUAGUUUCUAAAUUGGUAUCUAAUUAGCAACUAAGGUUUUUCUACCAAAUUUAGAAACUAAAUAAUUGGUAGUUAAAAUCUUAAUUGCUAAUUAAAUAUCAAUUUAAAAACUAUUUAAUAAUAAUAUAAAUUAAUUUGAAAAACUAAUUUUGUUUACUUUCUAAAUAUUUAAUGAUUUUCUGUCUGAACAAAACUUUUCUCUAAUUAAGAAGGAGUGAUACUUUAUAAUUUGUGUUUUAUAAAUAAUUACUUUACAAUUUUGCUAUAGUGAUAUAAUAUUUAAAGUUAUCUAAUUAAUUUAUACUUUUUACAUUUAUUAUAUUAUUAUAGUUGUAAAGUAUUAUAAAAUUAUCUUUAUGUUGAGUAAAAAAUAGAUGAUUUGAUAAGUAAUUAGAGAGAUCUUUAUAAAAGUGGAGUGAUUUUUGUCUAUUAUCACUAUGAAGUUUGUUAUUGACACGAUUUUUCCAAAUUUAGAAAAUAACUAUAUUUUAAUUAUGAGUGGCGGCAAAUAUUAACUCAUCUUUUCAAGAGAGAAAUGAUAUUUUAACUAUAAAAAAUGAUUUGAUUUGAUUGAUUUAAAUAUAAAUAUAUAUUAUAAUAAGAUUGUAUAAAAUAGUAGGGUUGUUAGAAACCUAAGAACAGUGUCAGAGAGUGACUCACAAGUUAGAGAUAUUAAAAUCCAAUUUGUGUAGCCUCAAGCAUGCAUCGCAUACACAAUCUUCUCUCUUGGGUAAAAUGGAUCUAAAUGUUUCUGCAAUUGGACUUGUUUCUCUACUUCUCUUCUGUUUCUUUUUCUUUGGUCUCUUCAAAUUUUCUCAAGGAAAAGAAGCUCCCACAGUUGCAGGUGCAUGGCCAAUACUUGGCCACCUUCCAUUGUUGAGUGCUUCAAAGAGACCCCAUAGAACUUUGGGUGCUUUGGCUGACAAAUAUGGACCCAUUUUCACCAUCAAACUUGGUGCCAAAAGCGCUUUGGUAAUCAACAACUGGGAAACGGCAAAGGAAUGUUUUACCACAAACGACAUAGUCGUUUCCUCUCGCCCCAAGCUUGUUGCUGCUGAACACAUGAGCUACAACCAAGCCAUGUUUGUGGUAGCACCCUAUGGUCCCUAUUGGCGAAAAAUAAGAAAGAUUACAGUUUCAGAGAUUCUCUCCCCUCUGCGAGUGAAGCAGCUGCGUCAUGUUUUUGAGUCAGAAGUUGAAGGUUCGAUCAAGGAGCUCUUUGACUUUUGGCGUAGCAACAAGAAUGAGAGCGGCUAUGCCUUGGUGGAGUUGAAGCAAUGGUUUUCUCAUCUGAUAUUCAACAUGGUCCUUCAAAUGAUUACAGGGAAGCGAUAUUUCAGUGCAGCAACUGUGGAUGAUGAGAAGGCACGGAGAUUUGUGAGGGCUAUGGAGGAGUUCAUGCGUCUGUUCGGGUUGUUCACAGUGGGAGAUGCUGUUCCAUGGUUGAGAUGGUUUGAUUUUGGAGGGCAUGAGAAGGCAAUGAAAGAAACUGCGAAAGAGUUGGAUAGUAUUAUAGGUGAGGAGUUAGAGGAACAUAGAAAAAGGAAGGGUUUGGGUGAGAAGGUUGAUGAAGCUAAAGAUUUCAUGGAUAUCAUGAUUUCAUUGUUUGAUGGAAGAACUAUUGAUGGGGUCGAUGCAGAUACCGUAAUCAAAUCCACCCUUCUGGUAUGUAUAUUCAUUACACACACAUUAUAAUCUUUUCAAAUUUCAACAAAAUUCAACAUACAUAUAAAACGAAUUAAUAUAUAUAUAUAUAUAUAUUUAUAUUGGUGUAUGUAAAUUUUUUCUUAAGAGAUAUUUAAAAAAAAAAAUAGUUUCUAUUAUUAAUAAAUAAUUUCUAAAUUGGUAUCUAAUGUUUUAAUUAUCAAUUAUUUAGAUUUUAAAUUUUGUAGAAAUAAUCUUGGUAGCUAAUUAGAUACCAAAAUAGAAACUAAUAACUUUUUUAGUCUCUAAACUAGUAUUUAAUUUACUCAAUAUAACACCUAGUUAUAUUUGGUAUCUAAAAUUGGUUUCUAUUUAAUGAUUUUCUUGUAGUGAUGGUUGUAUAGUUUAAUAUAUACCAUGAUUGUAAAGUCUAUCUAAAGAACGAGAAUGCCGGUUAGCCUAUCCUAUAUAGGUCUGUUCCAUAUAGAAAAUGAAUGUUGAUUUUAUUGGUUUGUCUUUAAUGCUGAUUGCUUCCCAAAUGUGCACAUAAGAAAUAUAUAUUUUAAAUUAUAAAAAAUAAAUUUUGAAUAUUUUUUUUAUUAAGUUAAUCUUUUAUUUAUUUAAAUGAAUUAGAUAAAUUGUCUCACAAUAUUAUUCUCAUGAUAAUGCCUAAUAAGAUAUAGGUAAAAAAUAAUAUUAUAAUUAUGUUUUGAUUUUCUAUAAAAUUAGAAUUUUAAGGCAAAUACAUUAUUACUAUUCUAAUUUGAAAAGUAAUAUAAAAUAAUAUAUAUAUAUAUAUAUAAUACAAUUUUUAAAUUUUAUUAUAAAAAAAGAGUAAGGUAUGCUAAUGCAUUUGACAUAUGAUGAUAUGCAUUUCAGAAAGACAAAAAAACACCAUUAAAUAUUAAAAAAUCAUUAUUGAAUUUUGUGAAGGUGCUAUGAAUUAGGGAUCCACUGUAGUUUCUUCAUGCACCACCUCCAUGUCUUUCUUCUUGCAUCCCAUAGUUCAUAAAAUAUUCAAAUUAUCCUUUGAUAUUUUUCAUUGAAUGUUUUUCUUUAAUUCUGAAAUGUGGCAUUUCAUCUAGAAGUUAAAAUUUGUGUUUGGGAUUGUACAUUAUUUCAGAUUGCACAAUCCAAAAUACAAAUUUGUAUACCAGAUUAUAGAAUUUGAAAUGAAUAAUUUUAGAAAUUUUGAGAAUAAGUGGCUGCAAAAAAAAUCAUGGGGGUAUAUAUAAAAAAAACUAAUUCUUAAAAAAUGUGGGUUAUACGGGUCAACGUGCCUUAUCCCACACUUUGCCGGUAUGUGCUACGGGUUAUGCGAGGCGGGUCAACAAGUUGAAAUAGCCAGUCUACCCUGUAUUUCUUUUAGCGGGCCAAGGACUGGUCUACACGACCCACUCCGUUUUGCCAUCCAUAAUUUAAGUAACUAGUUACUAAAUAUAAAGUAUUAUAAUUAUGUGAAAUAUAUAUAAUAAAUAAUUUAUUUACGUAAAUUACACUAUAGUAAUUUUAAAUUUGAUUAGAGUAAACACUUGUAAAAUAUUCUUCUAUCAUGUCUAUUGGCAAUUUUUUCAAGUAAAUGUAUCCACAAACACUUACAAAAGAAAUAAAUAAGAAGAAGAAAUUAAAUAAAUUUUUUACAAACUAAAAUUAGUAUAUAUGAAUUAAAAAAAUAUUUUACAUAGAUUUAUUUUAAUAUAUGAUUUGUUUCCCUUAUAGAAGAACUUGUGAAUGACCAUAUUCUUAAUUUUCUUAAUUUGCAGGCAGUGAUUGCAGGAGGAACUGACACAAGUAAUAUUGUUCUUACGUGGGAAAUAUCUUUGAUUUUGAGGAAUCCUUUGGUAUUGGAAAAAGUAAAAGUGGAACUAGACAUUCAUAUUGGAAAAGAGAAAUGCGUAAGUGAGUUUGAUAUAAGUAAGUUAACAUAUCUUCAAGCCAUAGUCAAGGAAACUUUAAGAUUGUAUCCUCCUGCUCCUCUUUCGACGCCUCGUGAAUUCAUAGAGGACUGCACUUUAAGUGGUUAUAAUAUAAAAAAAGGAACUCGUCUAAUCACAAAUCUUUGGAAGAUUCACACAGAUAGUAAUGUUUGGGAAGAUUCAUUGGAGUUCAAACCAGAAAGAUUUCUUACAACUCAUAAAGAUAUUGACGUCAAAGGUCAUCAUUUUGAGUUAUUACCAUUUGGAGGUGGCAGAAGAAUGUGUCCAGGAAUAUCCUUUGGCAUUGAAGUAGUGCAUUUCUCUCUUGCUAGUUUUUUGCAUUCUUUUGAAAUUUUAAGCUCAUCACCUAAUCCUAUUGACAUGACUGAAAACUUUGGAUUAACCAACACCAAAGCCACUCCACUUGAGAUUCUUAUUAAACCACGUCUAUCUUUUAGUUGUUAUGAAAACAACUAAUCCAUGUGUUAGUUAUGCAGUCACAGUUUGUUUUCAUUCAAAGUACUUUUUUUCUAUAAUAUCGUUAAAGUCUUUGCUAUCUUUGUAUUUUCAUUCAAAGUGCUUGAUAUAUUUGCACUUUCGUUCAAUGUACUUGAUAUAUUUAUAGUUUAUCUUUGUAAACUUUGAAACUCUUUCAAAUAUAUCAUUAAUGAAAAGUAUAAUUACAUUGUAUAUUCUCGCUACAUUUACUCUUUUAUACUUAUUCCUUCUUUAUUGAUAUUUUCUUUAUAUUUUCCAAGUCCCUCUUAGUGAAUUCUCAGUGGUUAGCUGAGGACUGAGUGUAGCUCUAGGUUAAGAGUGAAUCAAUAUAAACUUCUUGUGUGAAUCUCUCUAUCCUUACACCCUUUAAACUGUUUUAGCUUUGAUUUUAUAACCUAAUGGUUAAACAACCGGUUGUUUCGCAAAAACAAAUGGUUGAUUUUCUGGAAUCAAACUAAAAACAGUUUUAUAAUUAGAUGAACAAUUUUCUAAUUGAUUGAUUCUUCACUAUGUCUUUCACUCUACCUUCAAUACUAGCGAAAAUCUUUCAAAAACAAUUCACCCCCCUCUUAUUUAAGGCUUAUAAUUCUAACAUCGUCUUCCCAUUAAUGUUAAGAAGUGUACCAAUUAAACUAUCACACACAUUCUUCUUUGCAUUAAAUCAAUACAAUGUCUGAAUUCUAACUUCGACCAAUAUGAAAGAUCAAAGAAGAUUGAUUUUUUCUUCCAUAUGUUUGUCACAAAUGACUUCUUUCUUGACUUCUGAAGGUGUGUCCUAUGUUAUUUACCUUUUCAUAAACCUCAACACUAGUUAAUGGAGUUGGUAGACUGACAGUCUUUUGAUGUCCAUUAAAGACUUUUUUCAACCUCCGGUAAGGAUGGUGACUUCUAAGAAACCUCCACUGCCAAAGAUAUACUAUCUUCCUUUCAUGUUUCAAUUGCUGAAAAGCAGUGUCUUCUUCACAUAUUGGACAUGCUUUUUGACCCUUGACACUACACCCUGAUAAGUUAUUGUAUGCCAAAAAGUUAUUUAUUGUGCAAAAGAACAUGGCAAGCAUCUUGAAAGUUUCAUUAACAAACCAGUCAAAGUGUCAUUAGCAACAUGGCUUACAGUGAAAAUACCGAGGGGUUGUAAAACAUCCUUCAUAGCUUUAAUUCCUACAGUUUCUGACCUAACUAAGUUGCGAUAAUAUAAACUGAUUUCUCUAGUUGGGAUUUUCUAUAAAAUCAUAUCCAAAGUGUUGGCUAACAGAAUUAAGAAAGUCAUGCCUAACAUUAAGAUGAAUCUCAAUCCACAUUCUUGUGGGGGAGAAGGCUUUUGGAUAUCAUUUUAGUGACCAAUGAGGUCGUGGAGGAUAUUAGGAGUCAUGGUAAGAGUGGGGCUAUUGUCAAGGUGGAUUUUGAUAAAACAUAUGACUCGAUGAUGUGACAAUUCAUGUUUUAUAUGAUGAAGAAACUAGGCUUUAGGGAGAAGUGGAUUAGGUGGAUCAAGUGUUGUUUGGUUUCUUCCUCAGUUUCUAUUUUAGUUAAUGGUAGCCCAACUUCUGAGUUCAACCCAUCUAGAGGGUUAAGGCAAGGGGACCCCUUGGUCCCUUUCCAACUCCUUAUCGUUGUCACUACUAGAAAAUCAUUAAAUAUAAACUAAUUUUAGAGAAAAAAAUAAUUAGUUAUUAUAUUGACUAAAUUAGAUAUUAUUUUAGAGACUAAAAAAAAUAUUGGUAUCACUAUGAAACUUGACAUCUAAGUUAGGAUGACACCUCAAGUAACAACAAUCAUCAUCCACCACAUGAAAAAAAUAUCAUUAAAAAAAGGAAAAAAGAAAGAAAGAAAGGAAAUACAAGCCAUAUGAGGAGACUAGACCAAAACCCAUAUACAAAAAUCCUAAGAAAAGUGAUACUUAGGUAAUAUAUCCCUACUAAUAAAGAAUUCUAAGAAAAAACUAGAUGGAAGCCUAUUAACCAAUUAAAUUAUUCUAUAUGAAUAAACCCUAAGUUAGCAAGCUUAUCAGCACAUUCCUUUCCUUAAAAAAAAAAAAAGUGAGAAAUCCCACAUCUGAUUUUCCCAUAGAAAUGAAGGCAAGUGUUCCACCUAUUAUGAAGAAUCCAAGGAACCUUAGUCAUAGUAGUAAAUGCAGCACAAACCAAGGUAGAAUCACAUUCAAGUCAUAAACUAGUAAGACCCAUCUUUUUAGUUUCAUAAAAGGCCUAUAUAACUCCCUAAAACUCAACAACCAAAGUAAUCUAAAAAUCAAGGAAAGCAGAGAAACCACCAAUAAAAUACCACCACAAGCGGCAAAACCAGGAUAACCCCUAGUAACACUAUCAUUAUUAAUUUUAACCCAACCUAGUGAAGGAAACUCUCAUCUAAUAGGAGGAGGAUGAAGAACUUUAUCAUUACGAGUACUAAUAUCAAAGAACUUAAGCACAUUGAAAUCAAACAUAUCAUUCCUUAUAGAACUUUUAGACGAAUUACACAUUAGGUAAGUAAAAUCCUUAAUGGUGGAAAUGGUCCUGAAAAGAUCAAUCUUAACCUGAAAUCUAACAUAAUUUCUCAUACGUCAUAUUAUCCUAGAGAAGGUAAUCACAACAAGUUUAAUCAAAUUAAACAAAUGACUACCAUCGCUCUUAAUAAAAUAAAGGAGAUCACUCACAUUAGAAAAAUGGAAUUAAGAAUAGUCUUUUAAGAUACCUAUAUUUGUUAUAAUUAAAUAUCCAAUUAUUAUUUCUAAAAUUAAAUUAAUUUUAUUACUAAAAAUUAAAUUUUAAAAAUGCAUAUUUGACUUGUAUUUAAAUUUAUUUUUUAUUUUUAAAGUGGACUAAAAUCUUUAGCUCUACCUAGGAGUAGAUCAAACAAAAAAAAUAUAUAAUUUUGAUUAGAAAAAAAUGAAAGUGACCUAAACUGGAUCUUUCAUAAGUAUUCCAUAUAAAUAAACUGAUCUGAUCGACCAACCCAGAAUUAAAAUCCAAUGUCGAUCAUGGAAUGAACCAGAAACACUUUCUAACUCACCCUACUUUUUCCAUCUGUUUUUAGGUUGAAGAUAAACGUGUUGCACUUGAUGAUCUAUAUACUGUCAUCUUCAGCACCUACCCAAUUAAUAAUUUCUACUUCCAACAAAUUUACUGGUUCACAUUUGUCGCUAUUGUUGUAUACAAAUUAUUAUAUGCUUAUUAGUCUGACAUUUUUCUUUUCUAAAUUUGCAAUUAAUAUUACUAUAAGAACAGAAGAAAUUUCACCACAGUGUCAAAUAUAUUUAUCAAUACCAGUUCAAAUAACAUCAGUAAACUUACCUAUGUUAGUACAAUUCCUAUAUAUAUAUAUGCACACUGGCUAAUGAACAAAAUGUGUAUCUUAAUGGAGUUCGUUUUGGAUUACCUUAAUGGCAGUGCCAUUGGUCUUCUUUCUCUAAUCCUCUUGUAUAUGUUUCUCUAUAAUCCCUUCAAAUUUUGUAAGGGAAAGAAGAAAGAGGCUCCCACAGUUGCAGGAGCAUGGCCAAUACUUGGUCACCUUCCACUGUUGAGUGGUUCAAAGACACCCCAUAGAACUUUGGGUGCUUUGGCUGACAAAUAUGGACCCAUUUUCACCAUCCAACUUGGUUCCAAAAAGGCUUUGAUAAUCAACAACUGGGAAAUAGCAAAGGAAUGCUUCACCACAAUCGACAUGGUUGUUUCUUCUCGCCCCAAGAUUCUCGCCUCUGAACUCAUGGGCUACAACCAUGCCAUGUUUGGCUUUGCACCCUAUGGUCCCUAUUGGCGCGAGCUUCGAAAGAUUACAACGUUAGAAAUCCUUUCCCCUCGUCCAGUGGAACAACUGCAGCAUGUUCGUGUCUCAGAACUUCAAAACUGGAUCAAAGAGUUGUAUGAUGUUUGGUGUAGCCAAAAGAGUGAGUCUGGCUAUGCCUUGGUGGAGCUGAAGCAAUGGUUUUCUCACCUCGCAUUCAACAUGGUUCUUCGAAUGGUCGUUGGGAAGAGACACUUUGGUGGUGAAAACUUAGAAGAUGAGAAAGCACAGAGAUAUGUGAGGGCUGUGGAGGAGUUCAUGCGCCUGUUCGGAGUGUUCACAGUGGGAGAUGCUGUUCCAUGGUUGAGAUGGUUUGAUUUUGGAGGGCAUGAGAAGGCAAUGAAAGAAACUGCGAAAGAGUUGGAUAGUAUUAUAGGUGAGGAGUUAGAGGAACAUAGAAAAAGGAAGGGUUUGGGUGAGAAGGUUGAUGAAGCUCAAGAUUUCAUGGAUGUAAUGAUUUCAUUGUUUGAUGGAACAACUAUUGAAGGGAUCGAUGCAGAUACCAUGAUCAAAUCCACCCUACUGGUAUGAAUGUUUAAUUUACACGUUAUAAUACUUUCUGAAAUGUGAAAUUUUAAGAAAAUUAAACUUAUAAUAAGAAAAAUAUACAUUGACAUUAUAGAACUCAUGAAGUAUUCCGUAGAAAAUAAGUAAAAUUAAAUAUCUUUUCUUGUAAAUUAAAAUUAAGUAUAACCUAAGUUAUUUUUAGUAAUAAGUUUUUCAAAUAUAAUCUUAAUUCAUUACAUGAAAAAUAUUAAAUAAAAACUAAUUUUAAAUACCAAAAUAAUUAGUUAAUAUUUGAUAUAAUUAAAGAUCAUUUUAUAAAUUAAAAAAAAUUAUUGAUAUCUAAAUUAUUUUUUUUUAUUAAUAAAAAAUUAUAAAAUAAUUUUUAAAUUGGUAUCUAACCAUUAACUACCAAGGUUUUAGCUACUUACUACUUUAUAUUCUAAAUUAGUCUCUAUUAGUCUUUUAGAGACUAGUUUAUAAUAUAAAAUAUUAGUAACUAAAACCUAAAUAACUAAUUUAGAUAUCAAUUUAGAAACUAUUUUAUAAAUUUUUAUUAAUAAUAUAAAUUAUCUUAGAUACCAAUAAUUUCUUAGUCUCUAAAUAAAUAUCUAAUUUAGUCAAAAUAGUGACUAAUUAUUUUUUAUCUUUAAAUUGGGUUGCUAUUUAAUGAUUUUUUCUAGUGAUUUUCUUCACUUAAAUAUUUUUGUUGGGUAACUUAUUUGUUUUGUAGGCAGUGAUUGUAGGAGGAAUUGACACAAACAAUACAAUUCUUACAUGGACAAUAUCUUUGAUUUUAAGGAAUCCUUUGGUGUUGGAAAACGUAAAAGAUGAACUAGACACUCAUAUUGGAAAAGAGAAAUGCGUAAAUGAGUAUGAUAUAAGUAAGUUAACAUAUCUUCAAGCCAUAGUCAAAGAAACUUUAAGAUUGUAUCCUCCUACUCCUCUUUUUGGACCUCGUGAAUUCACAGAGAAUUGCACUUUAAGAGGCUAUAAUAUAAAAAAGGGAACCCGACUAAUCCCAAAUCUUUGGAAGAUUCACACAGAUAGUAAUGUUUGGGAAGACCCUUUGGAGUUCAAACCAGAAAGGUUUCUUACAACUCGUAAAGAUAUCGACGUCAAAGGUCAUCAUUUUGAACUAUUACCAUUUGGAGGUGGUAGAAGAAUAUGUCCAGCAGUAUCCUUUGGCCUUCAAAUGGUGCAUUUCACUCUUGCUAGGUUUUUGCAUUCCUUUGAAAUUUUAAGUUCAUCACCUGAUCCUAUUGACAUGUCUGAAACAUGUGGAUUAACCAACACUAAAGCCACUCCACUCGAUAUUCUUAUUAAACCACGUCUAUCUCUUAGUUGUUAUGAAAACAACCAUUCCUUGUCUUAGCUACAUGAUUACAUUGUAUUUUUGUUCAAAGUACUUUUUUGUUCCUACUAAAUAGUUCAAAGUAUUAUAGUUCCUCUAUUAUAUAUUUGUAUUUUUGUUCAAAAUUACUUGUAAUAUUGGUAGUUUAUCUUUGUAAAUUUUGUAACUCUUUCAACUAUAUAAUUGAUGAAAGUAUGAUUACAAUUUAUAUUCUCACCAUUUUAACUUUUUUUAUUCCUUCUUUAUUGAUAUUUUCUUUAUAUUUUUCAAGUCACUCUUAUUGUUGUCUUGUUAAAAUUGAAGUUUGUAUUUUUACCUAUUUAUGUUUAAUUCAUUUUCAUGUACUAGAUACUACAAUGAUAAUUUGCUUAUUUGGCUUUAUUUCAAACAUCAAUGUUUAUCGACUCAAGACAUCAUAUAUGUCACUUCAGGGGUGAUCCAACCCAUAUUCAAAAGACUAACACAACCCUACAACACCACAUAUUCCAGACAGUUACACGCUUAACUCGGCCCAACAUCAACCGCAUACAAACUAAAACGAAAAAAGGCAAAUCAGAUGAUCAAGACACCCAUCAGAAUAAGAGAAACAAGCAACGGGAUUUAGAAGUAAUCCAAGACCAAACCUUCAAUUGAGCCAAAGAGAAGAUCUCCGAGUAAUCCAACACUCCACCUUUAAAAAUAAUCUUAUUCCUGUGACACCAAAUCUUACUAACCACCACAAGCCAAAUACUCUUCAGCCCUAAGUUGUCCGACUCAGGAGCAUUACACAACUUGAACUGCUAAAAUUGAGAGGAGUUAAGGGGGACAACUGACGAAAUGCCUAACCACACGUAACAAAGAUUCCAAACCAACCAUACUAUUCUACAGUAAAAAAAAUAGAUGAUUUAACUCCUCCUCUUUUAACCCGCAAAAGCAACAGGGAACGCUUCUGAGCUUUAUCCCUCAUCUAAAUAAAUUAACCUUAGUGGCAAUCUUAUUGUCCAACACUCUCCUAGCGGUAACAUGAGCUGAAGGCAUAGCCUUAAUCCUCCAAAAUAUUUUGAACAUCUUCGUACAAUCCCCCUUAGAAUCCCCUCUUAGAAUCCCAUAAGCCGAUUUCACUGAGAACUCUUGGAACUUACCGUCUUUCCAAACCCACCUAUCAACUUUUUCCAAGAUAGGACACAAGACAUGCACUACCUCUAGAAGUUGUCUAACCUGAUCCUCCUCCCAAUCAAAAAGACUUCUCCACCACGCCCAAAGGCCACUCCUAAACAUUGUUUGUCCAAAACCCACAAUGCUCCAGCAACACAUCUUUAUCGACACAAAGAGAAAAAAGCCUUGGAAACUUAUUCUUCAAGAUAUCAUUACCUACCCACUGAUCCUCCCAUAAUUUGAUACUCUUCCCAAUACCAAGUUCCCACUUAAAUUUGUCAUCGAAAUUACUUUCCCAUUUCUCCAGCUUCCAAAUCUUCUUCAAAUCUUUCCACCAAAAGGAAACAUUAUUGUUUGAGCUGUCCUCUUUCAGCUUUCUCCAGCCUUCAACCUCCUUCCACAAAUCUCCCUCAAAUCCCAACCACCAAAUUCAUUUACCCAACAAAAUCAAUUUAAAAUCCUUAAUAUUAACUACUCCAAACCCGUCGCUUCACUUAAUUUAUUUUCAUUUACUCAAUGCCACGAUCAUAAUUUGGAUACAAUACUGUUCCAAACAUUAAACUCUACUCGUUUACUCAAAACAUUACACAUCUCAACCUUAUAUUGUUGUAUUUUAUCAAUAAUUUAAAUUAUUACCUUAUACAAUUUUUCAAAUUCAUCAACCAAUAAAAAAUAUUGUAUUAUAUUUGGAUCACCUCCUUUAUUAACCAUUCAAAAUUAAAUUAUUUAUUUAAAAAUCUAAUACAAGAAAAUCAUUAAAUAGAAACCAAUUUUAAAAACAAAAAAAUAUAUUGACUAAAUUAGAAAAAAAAUUACAUACUAAAAAUAUUAUUGGUUUCUAAAUUAGUUUCUAUUAUUGAUAAAUAGUUUUUAAAUUGUUAUCUAAUUAGCUACCAAGUUUUUAAGUACCAAUUAUUUAUAUUUUAAAUUUGAUAGUAAACAUCUUGGUAGCUAAUUAAAUAUCAAUUUAAUAAUUAUUUAUCAAUAAUAGAAACUAAUUUAAAAAUCAAUAAUUGUUUUAGUCUCUAAAAUGUUCACUAAUUUAGUCAAUAUAGUAACUAAUUAUUUUUGUCAAAAAAAUUGAUUUCUAUUUAAUAAUUUUUUUUAGUGAUCGUUUAUCGUAUUUAUUUAAAUUUCAUUUCAAUCUUUUUUGAAUGAUCUAUUUAACAGCUGAAACAUUGUAAGUGAUUCUAAUAGUCUCAACCAUAUUCAUAUUAAAUUAUGUUUGUCUCCGAAAGUUAGCCAUUCUUGUAUUCUGUUACCUACACCAACAUGGUGCGUAUUAUUCAAUAAUAAACCAAAUAAUAUAUUUUUAAAAAUUUGGUGCAUAUAAAAGCCGUGUGUUACAAUUUUAUUAGUAUUAUAGACACUCAAGUAUUUUUUUAAAAAAAUUAUUAAUAGAUAUAGACUAUCUAUAUAUUUUUUUUUGUUAAUAUUCAAGGAUGCAGGUAGCUCUAUUAUGUGUCUCAUGCAGUUGUUUUUUUGUGAGGUUUAGGAUAGUGUUAUUUAUCGUAAGCUUUUUUCUGGUUCUGUAUACGGGUUGGGAUACUCUGAAGUAUCUCCUAAUUUAUUUUAAUUUUUUGGUGAUAAAAAAAAUAUGGAUUUUAGUUUAAUUCUUUAUAUUUAAAAAAAAUAUUAAUAGAUAUAAACUAUCUAUAUAUAUUUUUGUUAAUAUAUGAGUUUUAGUCUAAUUCUCUAUAUUUAUUUGUAUUUUAUUUUAUUUUUUUAAUAAUUUUUUUAUUUAAUGACAUAUUAUUGUUAUUAUUUAAAAUAUGAUGAAAUGUCAAGUUUCAUACAUAUGUUAAACAUAAGAUUUUUUUUAAAAAAAAAACUGUUAGUUGUAUGAAUAAAGAAAAUGAAUUCGGUAUGUAUAUUGUUUGAUAGUAAUCUAUGGGAGCCGCAAUAUCAACUAUUAAAAUAUCGUUUUGGUUUGAUUUAAUAUUUCAACAUUUUAAAGUUUUACAUGUAACAUAGUUUAAUCUUUUACUUAUUUUACUGAGUAUUUUCAAGAAAAGAAAUGUAGUUAACAAUAUAUUUUUAGAAAUCAAAUUGAUACAGGUUCAUCUUUCAAGAUCUACUAUAUAUCAAAGAUAAAAUUACUAAAACAAUAUAAAAUAUUCUAUGUUUAUAAUUUUUUAUUAAAAAUAAAUAAAUUUGGAUUUUUUUUUAAAUGUUUACGGUUUACCUGUAAUUUUAUGGAGUGUUUUGUCCAAUUCAAUGAUAAGGAUCUCCUUUAUCCUUUUAUUUAUAGUCACCUUAUUUAUUUCAAACCUUAUCUUCAAAAAUUGAGGACAAAAUUUAGCAGUGCACCUUUAUCUGUACUGUUGAAUUUUUUGGUCAUUGAAGAUAACACAUCAAACUCAACUCCUUCACACAUUGUUGCAUAUGAUUAGAAGCCAAAUUAAUCACGGCUUUGUGUGAAGCUUUUGUUAUUUUCAAUGCGAUCAAACAGAAAAAGACGUGUUCUGAUGGAUUAUUUUAAAUCAACAUUUCGAUAUUUUACAUGGUUAGGGUUCUUAUUAUUUGUAGUCUUGAAUUUUUUUUACGGGGUAGUUCAACCUGUAUACAAAAAUUACCUUACCAAAUUUUUAACAAGAAACAUCUACAAAGAAAUAAAAAAAAAAAAACAUAAAUGAAUCAUCCUCAUGCAUAUCAAAGAAUUCAGAACCCAGUUAGAGUAAGAAAAGAAAGCGCAACUGGACUUUGCAAAAAUUCAAGACCAAACAUUUCUUGCAUCAAAACAAACAUUUCUACCGCAUCUAUCACACCCCUAUUAAAAAUGACGGUCUAUAGUAUAAUUAGAUAGUCUCUUAUGAUCUUAUUUAUUAGGUGUUUAUGUUAGGUUUCAAUACGAUUUUAUUUAUCCAAUUUGAAUAAAUACUAAACCUAUUGCUAUUAAUUUACCAAAUGGUCAUCAAACUAUUGCUUCUCAAACUAGAACUAUGAAAUGCAUAGUUCCAAAAGUCGUGUUCAUGUAGAAACAACAACUCCUUCCAUUUUUUUCCACACCCGUUUAGGAAGGUUUUGGAUUUAUAUGAAAAAGUUUCAAAUAUAUAGCUUUUUUAUUUUGUCUCCAUGGAGAGAAAGUGAGACUCACCACAGCAACGAAUUCUGAAACGUAGUUAUCAAAAAGUUUUCAAUGAACUCAAAACAGGAGCACAAGGUUGCAAGAUUUAGGGUACAUUCAAGAAAGAUUUCCACAUUAUUUAUUAAAAAAAUUAUUGAUUUUUUUAAAAGUUCUUUAAUUUAUUAAAAAGUUUAUUUUAAAUCAUGUUGUAGAUCUCACAUCGACUAAAAAUUAGGACAUUUCAUUAUAUAUAAGUGGGUGUAACCUCACCUCAUAAGCCGAUUUUAAGAGGUUGAGUUAAGCUUAAAGUCCACUUCGUAAUAUGGUAUCAGAGUCAUUUUGAGCUUAUCCUAACUAGUGUUUGUUGGGCUUAUCAGGGCACCCGCUAUCGGACCGUUAUCGGAUCACCCAUAAUAUGUUAUCCCGCACACGACCUGUCACUCUCGGCGUGAGAGAGGUGUGUUGAAGAUUUCACAUCGAUUAGAGAUUAGGAUAUUUCAUUGUAUAUAAAUGGAUGCAAACCUCACCAUGAGCCGGUUUUAUGGAGUUGAGUUAGACUAAAAAUCCACUUCGUAAUAAAUCGAGUUCUCCAUAAGCUACCGAAUUUGGAUUUUGAAUAUAAAAAAAAAUAAUUAGAAUAAAAGGUUUACUUUGACAGAAACUAAUUAUUAAUUAAUGAGUAUAUACUUCAUAUAUUUGUCAUGAGAAGAAACUUAUAUACUAAGCACCUAAUUACUUGACUGAAGGCUAAAGCUAGAAGAUUCAACACAAGACCCCUUAACCUUCCCACUUUUAUAAUUUAAUUAUUAAUAUCAGUUGCAUUCUUAAGCUUGGAGAAGACAACCAAUAUCAAGCUAUUAAGGUCUCUUUUAUGUUCAUAUAUAAUACAAAUUCUGAUUUUGAAAAGUUCUCCAUGUGAGCAAGUGGAGAAGUGUGGCCAAGUUUCUAAGAAGUCUUUAUAAGACUUUCACAUCAUCACUUACAAUAAUCAAAUAACGUAAUAAUUCUCUAUUAUCCAAACCCUUUUCAAUAAAAAAUAUUUAUUUAUCAAUUUAUAUUAAUUAUAAUAUCAUUUUAUAUUAAUUAUAAAAAAAUAUAUUCUUUUAUUACGUGACUACAAUUAAACAAAUUAACAAGAUAAAUAAAAAUCAUGUCAAAAAAUUAAACGAAAAGAAACUAAUUUCUAAAUUUAUAAAUUUUGAAUAUUCAAUAAAUAAUUAAUAGAAAUAAUUAAAAAUAUUCAAAUUUCUAAAAUACUUAAAAGAUAAUUACAUUUAUUUGAAAAAUUCUUCCUCUCUCAGUACACGUGUUUUGAAAAAAAUCCAACUUAUUUUAGUUUCUUGUAUAAACUUAUCUGGCAUCUUUGGUUGAGUUCACGACAUCCAUUAACUUUUCACAUCAAACAAAAAGAUUUAUGGAAAAGAUUUUUUGAGACCAUAUGCACUGAAAACAUGAACUUCACAUCAUAUUAUAAUAAUACAAUAAUAUUUUAAAUUAAAAAAUAAAAUAAAAUAUAAUUAGAAUACUAUUUUAUUAAUUUAUGAAGUAUAUAUAUUUAAUAUUAUUUGUUGUACCACCCAUAAUCUAUUUAAGAAUACCACUAGCAUUGGACUUGACAAAGCUCAAAUGGAUUUUGUUCUACACUACUUGAAUACCACUACCAUUGCACUUCUUUCUCUAAUCAUCUUCUGUUUAUUCUUCUAUAAUCCCUUCAAAAAAUUUCAAUCCAAAGAGGCUCCCACAGUUGCAGGAGCAUGGCCAAUACUUGGUCACCUUCCACUGUUGAGUGGUUCAAAGACACCCCAUAGAACUUUGGGUGCUUUGGCUGACAAAUAUGGACCCAUUUUCACCAUCAAAAUUGGUUCCAAAAAGGCUCUGAUAAUCAACAACUGGGAAAUAGCAAAGGAAUGCUUCACCACAAUCGACAUGGUUGUUUCUUCUCGCCCCAAGCUUCUCGCCUCUGAACUCAUGGGCUACAACCAUGCCAUGUUUGGCUUUGCACCCUAUGGUCCCUAUUGGCGCGAGCUACGAAAGAUUACAACGUUAGAAAUCCUUACUACUCGUCGAGUGGAACAGCUGCAGCAUGUUCGUGUCUCGGAACUUCAAAACUGGAUCAAACAGUUGUAUAAUGUUUGGUGCAGCCAAAAGAGUGAAUCUGGCUAUGCCUUGGUGGAGCUGAAGCAAUGGUUUUCUCACCUCUCAUUCAACAUGGUUCUUCAAAUGGUCGUUGGGAAGAGAUAUUUUGGUGGUGAAAACUUGGAAGAUGAGAAGGCACAGAGAUGUGUGAGGGCUAUGAGGGAGUUCAUGCGUCUGUUUGGGGUGUUCACAGUGGGAGAGUUUGUUCCAUGGUUGAGAUGGUUUGAUUUUGGAGGCCAUGAGAAGGCAAUGAAAGCAACUGCAAAAGAGUUGGAUAGUAUUAUAGGUGAGGAGUUAGAGGAACAUAGAAAAAGGAAGGGUUUGGGUGAGAAGGUUGAUGAAGCUAAAGAUUUCAUGGAUGUAAUGAUUUCAUUGCUUGAUGGAACAACUAUUGAAGGGAUCGAUGCAGAUACCAUGAUCAAAUCCACCGUGCUGGUACGUAUGUUUAAUUCACACGUUAUAAUGCUUUGGAAAUGUGAAACUUCAACAAAACUAAACAUAUAAAUACAACAUAAUUCUUCAUUAAAUUUGGUAUUUAGUGUUGAAACACUUGUUGUAGGGGAGAUGAGGAUUAUGGGUAGAAUUAUAUAUAUGGAUGAGGUCUAUGACUGUCUUAUUAUGUUCUAUAGACUCUAUAGGGAGUGGGAACCUUUUGAAUUUUUAUUGGUAUUCUUAAUGUAUUCCUUUUAAUUCAUUUUAUUCAUCAUUGAUAAAAUAAAUUAAAUUUGAAAUAUUUCCUCAGAAACUUACCUUAAAAACAUUACAAAACCCUAAACCAACUUCUCUUACAGAAGUACAGUUUUUUUUUUUUUGGCACAAGAAGUCUAAUUUCUUUCACUUAUUCUUUACACAAGUGUGUUUUAUCGUCUUUACCGUUUAUAUGGGGUUCAUUUGAUAGACAUGAGUGUUUUUUUGGGAGAGUGAGGGAUAUAGUGAUGUUGUGAUUGGGAGAGAAAGGGACAUUUGUGGUGUUGCGUGAAUGAAAAUCCAUGGACCACUUACAAUUUUUUUUUCUGUUUUUCUACUUUGAUUUGGUUUUUGUGAAAAAUAAUGAAAUUUUGAAAAAAAAAACUUGUAAGUUAUACAUCAUUAGUUUAGAAAUUGUUUACUUUUUCGAUGGUGGAAAUUUAUAAUGAUUAUAGAACUCAAGCAAGUAAUCCCUAGAAAAUAAAUUAAAUUAAAUAACUUUUUCUUGUAAAUUAAAAUUAAUUUUAACCUAAAUUGUUUUUAAUAAUACGUUUUCUGAACCUGAUCUUAAUUUUCUUCACUUAAAUAUUUCUCUUGGGUCACUUAUUUGAUUUGCAGGCAGUGAUAUCAGGAGGAACUGACACAACUAAUACAGUUCUUACGUGGGCAUUAUCUUUGAUUUUAAGAAAUCCUUCUGUGCUAGAAAAAGUAAAAGAGGAACUAGACAUUCAUAUUGGAAAAGAAAAAUGCGUAAGUGAGUCCGAUAUAAGUAAGUUAAUAUAUGUUCAAGCUAUAGUCAAAGAAACUUUAAGAUUGUAUCCUCCUGCUCCUACUUCGGGACCUCGUGAAUUCACAGAGAAUUGCACUUUAAGAGGUUAUAAUAUAAAAAAGGGAACCCGACUAAUCAUAAAUCUUUGGAAGAUUCAUACAGAUAGUAAUGUUUGGGAAGAUCCUUUAGAGUUCAAACCAGAAAGGUUUCUUACAACUCAUAAAGAUACUGACAUCAAAGGCCAUCAUUUCGAGUUAUUACCAUUUGGGGGUGGUAGAAGAAUUUGUCCAGGAGUAUCCUUUGGCCUUCAAAUGGUGCAUUUCAUUCUUGCUAGUCUUUUGCAUUCUUUUGAAAUUAUAAGUUCAUCACCAAAUCCUAUUGAUAUGACUGAAAUCUUUGGAUUAACCAACACCAAAGCCACUCCACUUAAUAUUCUUAUUAAACCACGCCUAUCUCUUAAUUGUUAUGAAAACAACUAAGCCUUUUAUUAGCUACGUGAUUACAUUGUAUUUUUGUUUCUACUAAAUAAUUCAAAGUACUUGCUAUGUUUGUAGUUCCUCAAAUUGUAUAUUUGUAUUUUCGUUUAUCAGUACUUGUAACAUUUGUAGUUUACUUUUGUAAAUUUUGUAACUCUUUUAAAUAUAUAAUUGAUAAAAGUAUAAUUACAGCGUAUAUUCUCACCAUUUUAACUUUUUUAUUCUUUAUUGAUUUUUUUUUUCUUAUCAUUCUUAUUGUUGCGUUGUUAAAAUUUAAGUUUGUAUUUUUGACUAUUUUUGUUUAGUUCAUUUUCAUAUACUAGAAAUAACGAUGAUAAUUUGCUUAUUUUCUUUUUUUCAAACAUCAAUGUUUAUCGACUCAAGAAAUCAUAUAUACCAAAUUUAUAUUAUUUUAGUUUUGAACAAAUCAACUUACUAUCUACUUAAUUUUUCAAUUUUUUCAACCAAUCAAAUUAGUUCAUCUUCAACUUAAUUAAUCCUACCUCGUUAUCAAUAUCUAAAAAUAAGAAUUUUCAUCAUCUUAAUAUCAAAUAAAAUUUGUUAACAUUUUUAGUUUUUUUUUUAAAGUUAUUGAGCUUUGUUUGUUUGGCCCAACUUUCUUUUUCUGUUUCAACUAGAUCUUAGUCUUUUUCUUAUAUAUACACAAUGUAUUUUACUCUCUAAUACACACAUAAAUAAGAAUUUCUUUUGUAUUUUUUUUCUCUGCGUUUCUCUCUUUUAUGCUUAAGUCGUUGUCUUCUUUUCAUUUGCAAUUAGGGUUCAUUAGAACCUCCCUCUCUCCAUUGCGAUUACGUGCGCUCCAUUUGAUGCACCACAUCAAACAAGGAAUAUUCAUCUUCAUUAACUGUAAUAUGGUAUCAGAGCUCUUCAUUCGAAGAGCUCUGUUGCGCUUCUCUAUGAUCUUUAUUUCCUCCUUUGUUGUUCUUGGUUAUCUUUUCUAUUAUCUUUCAAAAUCUUGAUUGGGUUUCAAAAUCUCUUAGACAAUGUCUAAUGAAAACCAUAGUCUUCAUAGUCUUAAUAGUAGUCACACUAUUACAUGCAAUUUUUGUGGUAAAUACGGUCAUACUGAGGUUGUUUGUUUCGCAAAGUGGGUUUUCCUUCAGGUAAUGUUAAAACCUCAAAGUUUUAUUCUACUAGAAAAGUCUACACUUUUUGUAAUCGUCUAAAAAAGUAUGGGUUUUCUCCUGGCUACAAAUUCACCAAUUGGACAUCCCAAGGCAAUAGUACAAUUACUACUGAUACUUUUUUUGAACUUUUUCCUAAAGAACAGGAUGUAAAGGGAAUUCAACUUACAUCACAAUAGUGCCAAUUAGAUAUCAAUUUAAUAACUAUUUAUCAUUAAUAGAAACUAAUUUAGAAAUUAAUAAUUUUUUAAUAUCUAAAAUGGUCUCUAAUUUAAUCAAUAUAGUAACUAAUUAUUUUUUGUCUCUAAAAUUAGUUUUUAAUUAAAUAUUAUUUUUAGUGCUUGUUUAUCGCAUUUAAAUUUCAUUUCAAUUACUCAAUAAUAAACCAAAUAAUAUAUUUUUAUAAAUUUGGUGAAUAUAAAAGUUAUGUGUUACAAUUUUAUUGGUAUAAUAGACUUUUAUCUAGUCUUUUCUUAAAACUUUUUAUUAAUAGAUAUAUACUAUAUAUGUAUAUUUUUGUUAAUAUAUGGAUUUUAAUCUAAUUUCCUAUAUUUACUUGUAUUUCAUUUUUUUUAAUAAUAUAUUUUUUAUGUAGUGAUAGAUUAUUGUUAUUAUUUGAAGUGUGAUGUGAAGUUCCAAUGUCUGAUAUGAGAUUUUUUUAUUUUUUAUUUUAAUUUUUGUGUUAGUUUAAUGAAUAAAAAAAAUGAAUUCGGUAUGUAUAUUGUUUGAUAGUAAUAUAUGGUAGCCGCAAUAUUAACUAUUAAAAUAUCAUUUUGGUUUGAUUUAAUAUUUCAACAUUAUUAAAGUUUUACAUGUAAGAUAUUUUAAUCAUUUACUUAUUUUAAUGAUAUUUUCAAGAAAAAAAAUGUAGUUGACAAUAUAUUUUUAGAAAUCAAAUUGAUACAGGUUCAUCUUUCAAGAUCUACUAUAUAUCAAAGAUAAAAUUACUAAAAGAAUAUAAAAUAUCCUAUGUUUAUAAUUCUUUUAUUAAAAAUAAAUAAAUUUGGAUUUUUUUUAAAUGUUUACGGUUUACCUGUGAUUUUAUAGAGUAUUUUGUCCAAUUCAAUGAUAAGGAUUUUUUUUUAUGAUCAAAGAAUAAAUAAAAUAAAAUGAGACAUUUCAUGAGUGUUUCAACCCUUAUACAAAACAUUCAAAACAGGUUUCCUAGCAUCCUAUCAACCAAAGAUCCAACAAACAUUACACUACAAACCAAAACAAUAAACUAGUUCAAGAUAUAGAAACCUAACAAAUACAGUUACAUCAAUCCACCAAAGAGAUCACACCAACUAAACAAGAUCUUUGUCAGCAGGCUGAAGUGCCAUAACCAAGUGUCGAACUCAAUAAAACCGAUCCUACAAGAAGAAAAUGUAAACCAAAAUUAGUUCACCAAAGAGAUCACACCCUUAGUAUAGGACACAACAUCCAACACCUAAACAAUAACUUUGCAAUAGACUGAAGUACGCCAAAUAAUCAAUUGUCAACAUCAACAAACCGAUCCUACGAGGAGGAUAAAUAAACUAGAGAUAUCCUGCAAAAAGCACACAACAACUUCCCAAACUGGAUAGAUCAGUAACCAAAAACACCACAUAUCAAUCUCCCAAAGCUCAAACACCAUAAAGAUUCAAACACCAAACCGAGAAGCAUACAUCAAAAACACUUCCUUUACCGCAGCAAUCCAGGAACAAAAUCAUCAACCUGACCCUGCCAAGUAGAAAAGACCAAAAAAACCUGCACAAACACAUUAUAUCUUUCAAACCUGCAGGAAGAAAUCAUAAGCCAAAUAGACAUGCACACAACACAAACACCUCCCAAACGCAACUCAAGGACACACACCCCAAUCCAACCUUACCAGAUGGGAGGACCUGAUGAAACCUGCAGAAAACACACCACUACUUCCGAUUCCGAUUCCGAUUCCGAUUCCGAUUCCGAUUCCGUUUAUGAGGAAAAGCAUUUAUCUAAAUUGAGGACAAAAUUUAACAUUGCACUUUAAUCUGUAUUGUUUAAUUUUUUGGUCAUAGAAGAUAACAAAUCAAACUCACCUCCUUCACACAUCGUUGCAUAUGACUAGAAGCCAAAUUAAUCACGGCUUUGGGUGAAGCUUUUAUUAUUUUCAAUGCGAUCAAACAGAAAAAGACGUGUUCCAAUGGAUUAUUUUAAAUAAACAUUUCGAUAUUUUACCAAAUCUAGAUGGUUAGUUUUCUUGUUAUUUGUAGACGGUUUAUCUUAGUGUUUUUAUUUGUAGAUAUGGUUAGAUGCUUUGUAAUUCAUCUUUAAAUCUUAUCAAUAACUUUUUUUUUUUAGCUUUUAUUUAUGAAAAAAAUCUUCGAUUUUCUUUUGCUUUUGUGACAUAGUAAAACAAAAACAUCUAUAAAUGUGUGAAACCAUGGGCAUAGUUCCAAAAGUGGUGUUCUUGAACAAACAGCAACUCCUUCCAUUUUUUUCCACACCCGUUCAGGACAGUUUUGGAUUUACGUGAAAAAGUUUUAAAUAUAUUUUUAUUUUGUCUCCAUAGAGUUAGAAAGUGAGACUCACGACAGCAACAAAUUCUGAAACGUAGUUUUCAACGAACUCAUAACAGGACCACUAGGUUGCGUGAUUUAGGGUACAUUCAAGAAACAUUUCCACAUCAAUUAUUUAAAAACUUAUUAAUUUUUCUAAUUAAGCUCUUUAAUUUAUUAAAAACUUUAUAUUAAUCAGUUCCUCGUAUAAGCUACGAUUUUUUUUUUCUAUUGUUAUGCAUAAAGAUUGGAUCACUCGUGAAUGAUAAAAAAAUUAAAAAAUUCAGAUUUUGAAUAUAAAAAAAAGUUAAUUAGAAUAAAAUAUUUUACUUUGACAGAAACUAAUUAUUAAUUAAUGAGUAUAUAUUUGUUAAUGAAGUAGUUUACUUUAUAUAUUUGUUAAUUACUUGAAGUAAGAAAAACAGUCUUUAUUAUAUAAAAAAAAGUUAAACUUCUUUUAAAAGUGAGAGAUAAGUUUGAGUGAUUUGAAAUGUUUUAUUAAGUAAACUCCACAUAACCCAAUAACCUAUGAAUUUGAAGUAAUUAAAAAUAUUCACGUUUAGUUCUAAUAAUUGUUUUUAUCAUGAGAAGAAACUUGAUAUACUAAGCACCUAAUUACUUGAGUGAAGGCUAACUCUAGAAGAUUCAACACAAGACCCCUUAACCUUCCCACAUUUAUAAUUCAAUUAAUAUCAAGCUAUUAAGGUUAAUCUCUUUUAUGUUCAUAUAUAAUACAAAUUCUUUUUUCAAUAUUACUUCAGGAAUAUUCAACUAUCUUGCAUACCCUUUUUUCUGUAUAGUGGAAAUUUUUGACUGUUUUUUUUCUGACAUUGAAAGAUUCUACAUGUGAUCAGCAAGUGGAGAAGUGUUACCAAGUUGCUCAAAAGCCUUUAUAAGACUUCCACAUCACUUACAAUAACCAACCAAGAUAUAGGUAAUAUUUCCUUAUUAUUUAUCGAUUUACAUUAAUUAUAAUACAAUUUUAUAUUAAUUAUAAAAAAAUUAUAUUUUUUAAUAAGUGAAUAAAAUUAAACAAAGUGACAAGAUAAAUCUAAUCAUGUCAAAAAAUUAAACGAAAAAGAAAACCAAGUUAAAAAUUUAUAAAUUUUGAAUAUUCAAUAAAAAAUUAAAAGUAUUGAAAUUUAUAACAUACUUAAAGAUAAUUACAUUUAUUUCAAAAGUUCUUCUUCUCAGUACACGUGUUUGAAAAAAAUCUUUGACUUCUCCGACAUCUUUGACUGAGUUCAUCACAUAUCCAUUAGACAGAGUUCUUAUGCCACAAGAGUGGAUGAAUUAAUCUUUAUUAAAUAUUUUAAUAAUUUUAUUAGUUAAUCUAAUAAUAAAAUUAGUAAUUUAAUUUACUUUGAAUUUUUUUAACAUAUAUUUAAAUUACUAAUAUCAAUUAAUAAUAUUAACCACACGUUUAAAUCAACAAUUUCACUUUAUAAUUUAUUGUACAAAAAAUUUUAGCUAACAUUUUAAAUUUCAUAUUAAAACUAUUAUAAAGUAUGAUUUAAAUUAGUAAUCAUUCACAAAUUUACAAUUCACUGCAUAAUAAUUUAAAGUUUUAACAUUUUAAAACUUAAGCUUAUAUGUUUUAAAUAUUUUUAUGUUAGCAUAAUUUGAAAAUAAUUAUUCAUUAGUAUUAUUGCUGAGAGUUACAUUUUACAAUACUUUUAAUAACAUUAAAAAGUUAAAAAUAGAUAUAAUUAAUCAUCUUUUGGUCAACGUCCAAAUUUGAGUUAAGAGAAUAUUAUAAAAUGAUUUUUCGAACAAGUGUAUUAAGUCUAAAAUAUUAUAAAAUGAUUUUUCGAACAAGUUAAAGGAGUAAUGUAAGUUAAACAGAUAAUUAAGUCUAAAACAUUAGAAAUAUUAAAUUUAUAAAAUAGCUAAAGAUAAUUAUUUUUAAUUUAUAAUUAUAUAAUUACUUAGUCUUUUGAAAAGUUGUCUUUCCCUCUGAAGCAAUGAAUGAUCUAUUUAACAACUCCUACCUCCAAACAGUAGAUACACUAAACUCCUUCAAAUGGAUUUUGUUCUAAGUUACCUGAAUACCACCACCAUUGGACUUGUUUCUCUUAUCAUCUUCUCUUUCUUUUUCUAUGGUCUCUUCAAAUUUUCUCAAGGGAAAGAAGCUCCCACAGUUGCAGGUGCAUGGCCAAUACUUGGUCACCUUCCAUUGUUGAGUGGUUCAAAGUCACCCCACAGAACUCUGGGUGCUUUGGCUGAAAAAUAUGGACCCAUUUUCACCAUCCAACUUGGUUCCAAAAAGGCUCUGAUAAUCAACAACUGGGAAAUAGCAAAGGAAUGCUUCACCACAAUCGACAUGGUUGUUUCUUCUCGCCCCAAGAUUCUCGCCUCUGAACUCAUGGGCUACAACCAUGCCAUGUUUGGCUUUGCACCUUAUGGUCCCUAUUGGCGCGAGAUACGAAAGAUUACAACGUUAGAAAUCCUUACUACUCGUCGAGUGGAACAGCUGCAGCAUGUUCGUGUCUCAGAACUUCAAAACUGGAUCAAACAGUUGUAUAAUGUUUGGUGCAGCCAGAAGAGUGAGUCUGGCUAUGCCUUGGUGGAGCUGAAGCAAUGGUUUUCUCACCUCGCAUUCAACAUGGUUCUUCGAAUGGUCGUUGGGAAGAGAUAUUUUGGUGGUGAAAACUUGCAAGAUGAGAAGGCACAGAGAUGUGUGAGGGCUGUGGAGGAGUUCAUGCGUCUGUUUGGGGUGUUCACAGUGGGAGAGUUUGUUCCAUGGUUGAGAUGGUUUGAUUUUGGAGGCCAUGAGAAGGCAAUGAAAGCAACUGCAAAAGAGUUGGAUAGUAUUAUAGGUGAGGAGUUAGAGGAACAUAGAAAAAGGAAGGGUUUGGGUGAGAAGGUUGAUGAAGCUCAAGAUUUCAUGGAUGUAAUGAUUUCAUUGCUUGAUGGAACAACUAUUGAAGGGAUCGAUGCAGAUACCAUGAUCAAAUCCACCGUACUGGUACGUAUGUUUAAUUUAUACGUUAUAAUGCUUUCAAAAUGUGAAACUUCAACAAAAACUAAACAAAACUAAACAUAUAAAUACAACAUAGUUCUUAAUUAAAUUUGGUAUUUAGUAUUGUGGUUGGUCUGGUUUUAUAACAAUGUUUAGUGGAGAUGAGGAUUAUGGGUAGAAUUAUAUGCAUGAGGUCUAGAAUUCUCUUGUUAUCUUCUAAGCUUAUAGGGAGUGUGAACCUCUUUACUUUUUAUACGGAUUAGGAUAUCCUUAAACCUUAAAGUAUGUUUUUUAAUUCAUUUUAUUUAUCAUCAUAAAAAAAAUUAAAUUUGAAUUAUUUUCUCAGAAACUGACCUUAAAAACAUUAUAAAAUACCAACUUCUCUAGCAGAAGUACAGUUUCUUUUUCUGGCACAAGAAGUCUAUUUUCUUUCACUUAUUCUUCACGCAAGUGUGUUUUAUCGUCUCUACCGUUUAUAUGGGGUUCGUUUGAUAGAGGGGAGAGAUAUGAGUGUUUUUCGGGAGAGUGAGGGAUAUAGUGAAGUUGUGAUUGAGGGAGAAAGGGACAUUUGUAGUGUUGUAUGAAUGAAAAUCAAUGGACCACUUACAAUUUUUUCUUCUUUUUCUACUUUGAUUUGGUUUUUGUGAAAAAUAAUGAAAUUUUGAAAAAAAAACUUGUAAAUUAUACAUCAUCAGUUUAGAAAUUGUUUACUUUUUCGAAGGUGGAAAUAUGCAAUGAUUAUAGAACUCAUGCAAGUAGUCCCUAGAAAAUAAAUAAAAUUAAAUAACUUUUUCUUGUAAAUUAAAAUUAACUUUAAACUAAGUUAUUUUUUAGUAAUAAGUUUUCCAAACAUAAUCUUAAUUUUCUUUACUUAAAUAUUUUUGUUGGGUGACUUAUUUGAUUUGCAGGCAGUGGUAUCAGGAGGAACUGACACAAGUAAUACAGUUCUUACGUGGGCAAUAUCUUUGAUUUUAAGAAAUCCUUCGGUGUUAGAAAAAGUAAAAGAGGAACUAGACAUUCAUAUUGGGAAAGAAAAAUGCGUAAGUGAGUCUGAUAUAAGUAAGUUAACAUAUGUUCAAGCUAUAGUCAAAGAAAGUUUAAGAUUGUAUCCUCCUGGUCCUCUUUCGGGACCUCGUGAAUUCACAGAGAAUUGCACUUUAAGAGGCUAUAAUAUAAAAAAGGGAACCCGACUAAUCACAAAUCUUUGGAAGAUUCAUACAGAUAGUAAUGUUUGGGAAGAUCCUUUGGAGUUUAAACCAGAAAGGUUUCUUACAACUCAUAAAGAUAUUGACAUCAAAGGCCAUCAUUUCGAGUUAUUACCAUUUGGAGGUGGCAGAAGAAUGUGUCCCGGAGCAUCCUUUGGCCUUCAAAUGGUGCAUUUCAUUCUUGCUAGUUUUUUGCAUUCUUUUGAAAUUAUAAGUUCAUCACCUGAUCCUAUUGAUAUGAUUGAAACCUUUGGAUUAACCAACACCAAAGCCACUCCACUUGAUAUUCUUAUUAAACCACGUCUAUCUCUUAAUUGUUAUGAAAACAAUUAAUCCAUGUGCUAGCUACGUGAUUACCUUGUAUUUUUGUUCCAAGUACUUUUUUGUUCCUAC
rnacentral:lncRNA from 1 species